AUCCGAGCCAAGAAACCUGGGAAGCAAAAUCAACAGACCUCCCAGACGCUUUUUCUGAGAUAUACAUUCUUGGAGAAAGGUGAUAUUGAGUUCAGAAAGAGGAAUGAUGAGAACGGAGCGAGACGAAGAUUUAGAGCUGGUAAUUCCCCCAAUUUUCGAGAACUGUUCAAGAAUUCUUGACGCAAAGGAUCAAAUUACAGCAAGAGAUUUGUACUGGGAAGGAGUUUGUGAAAAGUCCGAAAGAACUGAAGAGUUAUUGUUGAGAUGUGUGGAGAAGAAUCCGUUUGUUGGGGAGCCGCAUGUGGCAUUGGGGCAGCUGUAUUUGGGUGAAGGGCGGUUUGAAGAAGCUGAAAAGGAGGCUGAGGAAGGGGUGAGGCUGUUGCUGAUAUGGGGCAGUGCUUGGGACAAGAGGAUGCCAUGGGAGGGCUGGAUUGCUUGGGGGAGAGUGCUGUUGAUGAAGGCUAAAGAGAAGACAUGGCCCAACACAUCAUGGGGAAUCCUCAACUUGGGGCUUGUAAGGUAGACAAAGUAAGUGAAUCUUCUCUCUUUUUUCUCUUUAAAUUUGAGUUGUGUUCAUAAAUGGGUUUUUGUGCACUACCAUUUGUUUGCAUUUCAUGUGAUUAUAAAUAAAACUUAGGUGUAUCAG
rnacentral:misc_RNA from 1 species